UCCCUGGUAGGAUAUCGGUUAGUACACGCGCCUGUCAUUAUCCGUGUCAAAGGACGCGCGAAAGCGGGGUUCGACUCCCCGCCAGGGAG